GCCAGGUGUGGUGGCUCACGCCUGUAAUCCCAGCACUUUGGGAGGCCGAGGCGGGCGGAUCACCUGAGGUCAGGAGUUCAAGACCAGCCUGGCCAACAUGGUGAAACCCCGUCUCUA
rnacentral:SRP_RNA from 1 species